GGGAUGGGGCAGGGACAGAUGGGGUGGGAUGGCGACAGGACAGGGAUGGGAUGGGAUGGGAUGGGAUGGGAUGGGAUGGGAUGAGAGAAAACAGGACAAAGUGGAAUGGGAUGGGGUGAGAUGGGAUGGAUUAGGGUUGGAAGGGAUGGCACGGGUUGAGAUGGGGACAAGACCAGAUGGGGUAAGGAUGGGAAUGGGAGAGGACAGGAUGGGACGGGAUAGGAUGGAAUAGGAUCAGAUGGGACGACGCGGGAUGGGGAGAGGACUGAAUGUGGUUGGGAUGGGGAUAGAACAGAAUGGAAUGGGAUGAGAUAGGAUAGG
ensembl:lncRNA